GACGAACGCUGGCGGCGUGCUUAACACAUGCAAGUCGAACGAAGAGCGAUGGAAGCUUGCCUCUAUCAAUCUUAGUGGCGAACGGGUGAGUAACGCGUAAUCAACCUGCCCUUCAGAGGGGGACAACAGUUGGAAACGACUGCUAAUACCGCAUACGAUCUAAUCUCGGCAUCGAGGAAAGAUGAAAGGUGGCCUCUAUUUAUAAGCUAUCACUGAAGGAGGGGAUUGCGUCUGAUUAGCUAGUUGGAGGGGUAACGGCCCACCAAGGCGAUGAUCAGUAGCCGGUCUGAGAGGAUGAACGGCCACAUUGGGACUGAGACACGGCCCAGACUCCUACGGGAGGCAGCAGUGGGGAAUCUUCCGCAAUGGACGAAAGUCUGACGGAGCAACGCCGCGUGAGUGAUGACGGCCUUCGGGUUGUAAAGCUCUGUUAAUCGGGACGAAAGGCCUUCUUGCGAACAGUUAGAAGGAUUGACGGUACCGGAAUAGAAAGCCACGGCUAACUACGUG
rnacentral:rRNA from 1 species